rnacentral:rRNA from 1 species
AACGAACGUUAGCGGCGCGCCUAAGACAUGCAAGUCGAGCGAGAAAGGGAUUCGUCCCCGGUAAAGCGGCGCACGGGUGAGUAACACGUAGGUAACCAACCCUCGAGUGGUGGACAACUCUCCGAAAGGAGAGCUAAUACAGCAUAAAGUGGCGGUCUUCCGAGAUCGUUUCCAAAGCGGGCCUCUUCAUUAAACCUCGCGCUAGAGGCUGAGCCUGCGGCCCAUCAGCUAGUUGGAGGGGUAACGGCCCACCAAGGCAUAGACGGGUAGCUGUCUGAGAGGAUGAACAGCCACACUGGAACUGAGACACGGUCCAGACUCCUACGGGAGGCGGCAGUCGGGAAUCUUCCGCAAUGGGCGAAAGCCUGACGGAGCGACGCCGCGUGAGUGAUGAAGGCCUUCGGGUUGUAAAGCUCUGUGGGGAGGGAAGAAUAAGUUCAAGCGAAUACCUUGAAUGAUGACGGUACCUCCUUAGCAAGCACCGGCUAACUCUGUGCCAGCCGCCGCAGUAA